CUACAAGUUUCUGAGAAAAAGAAGACCAAUCUACUGCCGCAAGGUACAGCAAGUUGCGUUCAAAAGUACGAAGCAAGUUGCCACGCAAAUUUUGCCUGAAAGUUGAUAAAAAUGUUUAAUGACUAUAAUUCAUUAGUGGUAAAAGAACAUCGAGUUUGUAAAAUUGUUUUAUUAUAACUAAUAAAUACGUAUAGGUUAAAUUUUGAUAAAAUUUAUUUUAAUCCAAGCAAAAAAAAAAUAUGUAAAUUUCAGGAGAAAAAUGUAAUCUAUAACCUAACACUUUGGCUGGUUCCACGCUCGAUCGUGAUUUUCUCUCGGCUUUAAGAGUGAUGUACCCUACUUUGAGUGUGCAACAAUAUCAUGAAGCCUUAAAAAGUGCACUGAAGGCAGCAGAUUCUCGAAAGAGAAUAAAAAGUAAACCUACCUCAGAACCAUCGAGAAAGAGAAAGAAGAGCACGGAAUUUACUGAAGAUUUUUAUUCAAAUUCUGCAGAAAAUCAGCCUCCAGUGGAUUAGCAUUUCUUUAAUUAAUAUUUUUAAAACAAGUGUUCUUUUUAUUUAAAAUAUAUAUUAUUGUAAGAAAGAUAUAUAAAUUAUAGAAUGUCAACGAUUUAGGUUACAGAAACAAAUGUAAUUUCCUAUUUUGUUAUAAAUACUAAAUAAAUUAUUUUAUCAUUAAUAU